GUCCUCAAAGUUACAGCCUCUCAGAGAUGCACCCUCCGCAUUAGAACACAGCAUCUUAACACCCUGUAGGUUAGCUCCCUGUAACACACACACACAUUAGAACACAGCAUCUUAACACCCUGUAGGUUAGCUCCCUGUAACACACACACACACAUUAGAACACAGCAUCUUAACACCCUGUAGGUUAGCUCCCUGUAACACACACACACAUUAGAACACAGCAUCUUAACACCCUGUAGGUUAGCUCCCUGUAACACACACACACAUUAGAACACAGCAUCUUAACACCCUGUAGGUUAGCUCCCUGUAACACACACACACAUUAGAACACAGCAUCUUAACACCCUGUAGGUUAGCUCCCUGUAACACACACACACACACAUUAGAACACAGCAUCUUAACACCCUGUAGGUUAGCUCCCUGUAACACACACACACACAUUAGAACACAGCAUCUUAACACCCUGUAGGUUAGCUCCCUGUAACACACACACACACAUUAGAACACAGCAUCUUAACACCCUGUAGGUUAGCUCCCUGUAACACACACACACACACAUUAGAACACAGCAUCUUAACACCCUGUAGGUUAGCUCCCUGUAACACACACACACAUUAGAACACAGCAUCUUAACACCCUGUAGGUUAGCUCCCUGUAACACACACACACACAUUAGAACACAGCAUCUUAACACCCUGUAGGUUAGCUCCCUGUAACACACACACACAUUAGAACACAGCAUCUUAACACCCUGUAGGUUAGCUCCCUGUAACACACACACACAUUAGAACACAGCAUCUUAACACCCUGUAGGUUAGCUCCCUGUAACACACACACACAUUAGAACACAGCAUCUUAACACCCUGUAGGUUAGCUCCCUGUAACACACACACACAUUAGAACACAGCAUCUUAACACCCUGUAGGUUAGCUCCCUGUAACACACACACACAUUAGAACACAGCAUCUUAACACCCUGUAGGUUAGCUCCCUGUAACACACACACACAUUAGAACACAGCAUCUUAACACCCUGUAGGUUAGCUCCCUGUAACACACACACACAUUAGAACACAGCAUCUUAACACCCUGUAGGUUAGCUCCCUGUAACACACACACACAUUAGAACACAGCAUCUUAACACCCUGUAGGUUAGCUCCCUGUAACACACACACACAUUAGAACACAGCAUCUUAACACCCUGUAGGUUAGCUCCCUGUAACACACACACACAUUAGAACACAGCAUCUUAACACCCUGUAGGUUAGCUCCCUGUAACACACACACACAUUAGAACACAGCAUCUUAACACCCUGUAGGUUAGCUCCCUGUAACACACACACACAUUAGAACACAGCAUCUUAACACCCUGUAGGUUAGCUCCCUGUAACACACACACACACAUUAGAACACAGCAUCUUAACACCCUGUAGGUUAGCUC